UACAGAGGGUGCAAGCGUUAAUCGGAAUUACUGGGCGUAAAGGGCGCGUAGGUUGCAGAAUAAGUUGGAUGUGAAAUACCCGGGCUUAACCUGGGGGAGUCAUCCAAGACUGUUUAGCUAGAGUUCAGUAGAGGAUAGUGGAAUUUCCGGUGUAGCGGUGAAAUGCGUAGAGAUCGGAAGGAACACCAGUGGCGAAGGCGGCUAUCUGGACUGAAACUGACACUGAGGCGCGAAAGCGUGGGGAUCGAACAGG
rnacentral:rRNA from 1 species